UGGGGAAUAUUGGACAAUGGGGGCAACCCUGAUCCAGCAAUACCGCGUGAGUGAAGAAGGCCUUCGGGUUGUAAAGCUCUUUUACCGGGGAAGAUAAUGACGGUACCCGGGGAAUAAGCUCCGGCUAACUUCGUGCCAGCAGCCGCGGUAAUACGAAGGGAGCUAGCGUUGUUCGGAAUUACUGGGCGUAAAGGGCGCGUAGGCGGCUUUGUAAGUCAGAUGUGAAAGCCCCGGGCUCAACCUGGGAACUGCAUUUGAUACUGCAAGGCUAGAGAUCGAGAGAGGAAAGUGGAAUUACGAGUGUAGAAGUGAAAUUCGUAGAUAUUCGUAGGAACACCAGUGGCGAAGGCGACUUUCUGGCUCGAUACUGACGCUAAAGCGCGAAAGCGUGGGGAGCAAACAGGAUUAGAUACCCUGGUAGUCCACGCUGUAAACGAUGAGUGCUAGAUGUUAGGAGGGUAACCUUUCAGUGUCGCAGCUAACGCAAUAAGCACUCCGCCUGG
rnacentral:rRNA from 1 species